UACGGAGGGUGCAAGCGUUAAUCGGAAUUACUGGGCGUAAAGCGUGCGCAGGCGGUUUGUUAAGUCUGUUGUGAAAUCCCCGAGCUCAACUUGGGAAUUGCAAUGGAUACUGGCAGGCUGGAGUAUGGUAGAGGAAGGUGGAAUUCCCGGUGUAGCAGUGAAAUGCGUAGAGAUCGGGAGGAACACCAGAGGCGAAGGCGGCCUUCUGGACCAAUACUGACGCUCAUGCACGAAAGCGUGGGGAGCAAACAGG
rnacentral:rRNA from 1 species